CCUACGGGAGGCAGCAGUGGGGAAUUUUGGACAAUGGGGGAAACCCUGAUCCAGCCAUUCCGCGUGAGUGAAGAAGGCCUUCGGGUUGUAAAGCUCUUUCGCAAGAGAAGAAAUCUUACUAUCGAAUAAAUAGUAAGGAUGACGGUAUCUUGACAAGAAGCACCGGCUAACUACGUGCCAGCAGCCGCGGUAAUACGUAGGGUGCGAGCGUUAAUCGGAAUUACUGGGCGUAAAGCGUGCGCAGGCGGUUUUAUAAGUCAGAUGUGAAAUCCCCGAGCUCAACUUGGGAACUGCGUUUGAAACUGUAAGACUAGAGUGUGUCAGAGGGGGGUAGAAUUCCACGUGUAGCAGUGAAAUGCGUAGAGAUGUGGAGGAAUACCAAUGGCGAAGGCAGCCCCCUGGGAUAACACUGACGCUCAUGCACGAAAGCGUGGGGAGCAAACAGGAUUAGAUACCCUGGUAGUCCACGCCCUAAACGAUGUCUACUAGUUGUUGGUGGAGUAAAAUCCAUGAGUAACGCAGCUAACGCGUGAAGUAGACCGCCUGGGGAGUACGGUCGCAAGAUUAAAACUCAAAGGAAUGACGG
rnacentral:rRNA from 1 species